rnacentral:tRNA from 1 species
GUCCUUGUGGCUAAACAGGGUGGAGCACUGGCCCCAUAUGCCAGAGGUGGCAGGUUCAAACCCAGCCAUGGCCA